ACUGAAAGUUACAGCUGUGGGGCAACGUGCUCUGUGCUAAUGACUCUGUGCUAAUGAGAGUUGGUCAGACCUUGAGCUAACCUGUCUUGUUCACAGAAGCAGAGGAUCCCUCACGUUUUGCUUGGAUGGAGACAGGGAUGCUGAUGCCAGCUUUGCAAUGCCAGGCUCUCUUUGGGCCAGAUCAGCUACCUGCACCUCCUGGUGAAGAUCUUUUGCUCUGUCAAGGAGAGUAACAGUGACAUCCUGUGGCUCUGGAGAAGAAUUACUGCUCUGGGUGCCAACGAGAAGGGCUCCUGAAGUACAGCCAUGAGUUAAGGGCAGGUCAGCAACACUUCCCUUCAGAGAGGGUUUCUACAGAAGGUAAUGAUGGAAGGGCACGGCCACUUCUUCAGCGCUGAUACUGUCCUGUGUCAUCCAUUACUGCUGGUUUGUCAGGUGAGACAGCAUCCAUAUCUGCAAAAUGGACAUUAGGCACUUCAUCUGAAAUUGCCACUUCUAUCAUCCAUCCCAUCCCACUUGUUUUGCUUUGCUGAUCGUGGAUGAAAGGCCUCGAUUUCCAGUAGCCUGGGUCAGUGAUUUGCCUGUCAUGCAGUUGCUCCUUUUGUAAAAGGAGGUGCUUAAAGAAGGAAUAUAGUGCAUGUAGACUGAUAAAGCAGGUAAGAGAAAUCUUGACAGCUCCCUUUGGAUGGCAGACAAUUGCUCCCUGGGUUUUAGCCAGGGAACAGUUGUGUGCAGUCUGUCCUAAUAGGGCUUGCUCCUGCUAGCUAUGCAGUAGCACAGUGGUGCUAGCACAGCUAGUAUCCUAUUUGUUUUGUAGCUCCUCUGUGAUAGCCACAGAUUGUUCCUUUUUUUUUUUUCCUUGCUCCUCCAACAGCAAAGAAAGCAAACCCUGAGCUGUGACUGCCAAGGCUUUGUGGGCAAGUCAAAGCAGGAAGAGGGGACAGGAAGCAGCAGUAAAAUAAACAUUUCCUUUCAUUUUGCUGAAGUGCUGCACCCUGCUUAUGUGUUGAUGCAUAUGCCAUUCUUCCUCUCAUUAUAAAGCAGGGCUGAGUGCUGGUGCU